GCCUGAGGUGAUGGCACGUUGAAUGCACCAUUUCCCAAUGGAUCAUUGAAGUUAAGCAACGUUGAGCGUGGUUAGUAUCCGAAUAGGUAUCGGGACGAUUGGUGACCGUCUGGCGUGCUGCUGGGU
rnacentral:rRNA from 1 species